rnacentral:lncRNA from 1 species
GUGCGUUUUGUAACUUAACUGCGCAGCGCACUCCAAAGACCCAAGGCACAAUACCCAACUAGGCUGCAACAAUAGAGUGCAGAGAGGUCCGGGUGGUGAGAGAGAGGGCUCUAGCGUUGGUGGUCAGGGAGCUUACAGCGAGCAGGUGUGAUUAAUAUGAGCAUCUGGGAGCGUGGAGCAGGGCCUGCAGUACUUCCUACCACUGGCCUUCCGUGUUCUGGAUCAUUCUUACUGGAUCUAUCAGCAAACAGCAUGCAAGUGCCAGCGUCCAAUCAUUCCUGCAUGGAAUGCCAUCAGACUUCCUCAGUUGGAGUUACUUAAAAGUUAAAUUGUUGGGAUUUUUGAUAAUGCCUUUCCCAUGUGGAUUACUACAAUUUGAUGGCUCAGGAACUCUCCACUCAGAAGGUGACCUGACCGCAGAAGUGCUAACUCCUGUUUAUUCAGGAAAGACUUCCGACUGGGGAAGACUUCCAGGUGUGAAUCAUGAGAGAGCGGAGAGGCCUGUGAUUUACGUUUUGGAGGGCAUGCCUGAGUGUGAUUAAGGGAUUUAAGUGCAGGACUCUAAGAUUUACUUCCUUCCUGUUCCAGCAGGGUUACCUGAAGGAGUGAGUAAUGGGGUAAUUUAUAACACCACAGGCUCUUUGUCAAGACCACUAGUCAAAACAGGAAGAUCAAACUCAGGUUUCAAUGGGCAGACUACAACUUUUGAUACUCUCUGGACAUCCUUCUUAAUUAUAAGUGGAAGAUCUUCAAGAAUUUUCCUAAGGAGAUGUCCAAAGGUGCAGCAUUUCUGGUUCCUUCGAGAGGGUGAGGAGAGCCUGCAGGCAUGCUGUGCACCUCUGCAAUUGCUAGUCCCAGGGUCACAGCAAGUGGAAGUGCAGAGCACCACAAACUGCUUUGAGCAGAGCCCACUUCCUUCAUCCCGGAGAGCAUGGAGCCGUUACACCAACAUCAAUCAAGGGGGACCCAGGCGCUGCACUCACACAGUUGAAGCAGGGGAGCAAAUCGAAGACUCACCCAGGAGCAGAGUGCUUUUGAGACAGAGGAAGAAGACAAAACAGCUCCCAGCUCAGCUUCUCUUGCCAUAUUCAGGAAUCACCACACGUGCUGUUAUAUUGGGCCUCAUUUUGUUUCCCUUUCCCCAACACCUGUGUGCUGUGCUUGUGGUGAGUCUUCACAGCCAAGUACAAUUUUUCCAGUUCAACUCCACUGAUCACUAUCAACAAGAAAGUGUAAGAGCUCAGAAGUCAUCUUGGAGGCCCCAGGCGAAGACCAGUCCUGCAACCUUGGAAGGCAGCUAUGGUCACCACUAUACCACCAACGCCACACCAGUCAUGCAACCUUGGGAUGUGCAGGGUUUGGGCAGCCAAGGCUUGCUGCACUAACCCUUUGCUGCAUGUGUUUCAACAGUGCCAUUUACUUGAUGAAUGUCUCUUUUCCGGCAGAUGACAUGAGAACAGUGCUUGUAACUGUUUCUGCUCAGCAUGAUAUUCAGAACCCUUAACAUGGUUACUGACAUACAGGAG